rnacentral:rRNA from 1 species
AAUCUGCCCAGUAGUGGGGGAUAACCUGUGGAAACGCAGGCUAAUACCGCAUACGUCCUACGGGAGAAAGCAGGGGAUCUUCGGACCUUGCGCUAUUGGAUGAGCCCAAGUCGGAUUAGCUUGUUGGUGGGGUAAUGGCCUACCAAGGCAACGAUCCGUAGCUGGUCUGAGAGGAUGAUCAGCCACACUGGGACUGAGACACGGCCCAGACUCCUACGGGAGGCAGCAGUGGGGAAUAUUGCACAAUGGGCGAAAGCCUGAUGCAGCCAUGCCGCGUGUGUGAAGAAGGCUCUAGGGUUGUAAAGCACUUUCAGUAGGGAGGAAAUGUUAACGGUUAAUACCCGUUAGCUUUGACGUUACCUACAGAAGAAGCACCGGCAAACUCCGUGCCAGCAGCCGCGGUAAUACGGAGGGUGCGAGCGU